CUCUUAUGACUGCACAUAUAGGCAGACACAGGAGUUCUGUAGGCAAAGUUCUAUUGCUUGGUCCACCCAUUCCUUUGUUCUGUAAUGCUGCCUGAGGCCUGAUACCGUCCUCUUUGCUCUGCCCUGCACAAUCCAUCUUUAGCCACAGCUCAUCCUUAAAGAAGCAAAUGGAAAACAGAUUGGACUUGAAGGGGUGGCAGCUGAUUGUCAACUCAUUAGGAGGAUUAAAAAUCUGCAGAGAAUUACCUGUAAAGUCCCUGGAUAAAAUCUUGUGAAAAUCCUUGGAGGAUGCAAUUGGACUCAAAACAAUAAGAGAGAUGAAAAUAGUUCUGUGAUAGAAGCAAAUCUGCCAAAACCAGUUCAGUGUUUUCAGUAAAGUAUUCCCGCACGCUCACCCACCUUCUUCUCAUCCUAGCCAGAGUGGUUUUUCAGAAAUUAAUAUCAAAUUAAAGCAGAACUACUCUUCCUACCAUUGUUGACCCUACUCCACACUCUACCCAGAUGAUGAAGAUCAGGGAUGUUGCCGGCUUUUAUUUUGUAUCACCCAUGUAUAGAAGUAUACCUGUGCACAGUA
rnacentral:lncRNA from 1 species